ACACAGUUUUCACAGUUUUUGAUGUUGUAGAUACUGCAUCAGGAACUGACUGGAUAAGACAAAGUCACCAUCAGUGCCUCAUGCAUUGCCUUCAGCAUCUAAAACA
rnacentral:pre_miRNA from 11 species